rnacentral:lncRNA from 1 species
UUCACAAAAGACUAGGCAGAUCCCAAUGAGGAAACUAAAUCAUGCAUAUUGCAUGCAAUUGUUGGUUAUAAUAACUUAUAUAUAAAUUACUCAGAAGAAGUAAUUAAACAAGAGCUCAAGAGAGAGACAGAGACAGAGGGGUACGUAGAAUCAAGAUAUUGGAAAACUAUGGAGAUGAUGAGCAACAAGUUAUGUUUUGCUGUGGUAAUGACCAUGGUGCUUACGGUGUCCACCUUUGCUCCAGCUGCCUAUGGAAACCCUAGCAAGAACAAUAUUGCUGAAGCACCCGCCUCUAAGCCUGACGCCAAAUGUGAUGCAAAAAUAAUCGAUGCCAAUAAUCUCUACGAUGGAAAUUUUGGGGUAGCUGCUCCCAUGGCUAGUCGUCUCAACGAGGAGAGCUUGGCGUUGAUGUCAGGGAGGAUGAAACAGCCAGAAACGAGUGGAGGUGUGGGCACCAUCAAUGGGUGCAGAGGCAACCUCUGCAAUUUUUUGGUGGCUCCUUGCCAGAUCGGCUGUGUUUGCGUUCCCAUUAACAUUGGACCUUAUGGGUUCUGCAGUGGCGUCUGUUGCUAGCUAUAGCUACUCCUAUUAUAACAAAUUAAUGUAUCUGCAUCCAUGAUCUAUCCAUUCAUGUAUGCAUGGAUGCAUUUCAUCUAAUCAUGAACAUCUACGUACUGAUCGAUUCUUUAGCAUGAAAUAACGUCGAUCGUAUAUGUACACGUACGUGUGUACUUGUGUACGGUUGUUAUGUUGUUGUCUAGUAUUAUUUAUACUAUUGGGAGGUAUGGGUUUAUCUCAUGCUUCUUUUCUCUUAGUUUGGUUUUCUUCUUCUUUUCCUUUCAGCUUUAUUUCAUCUUUUUGUGUUAUAUUGUGUUGGGUUAGGUACAUAUCACCCCUUGCAACUCUUUUCACUUGGUAAAUUAGGCUCAAAUUUAAAAUGUUAUGCCAACCUAACAUUAAAAAGAACACCUAUAAAAACCAUAUAUUAAAUAAAGUGUCCAAAGAUCAACUUUGGGUUUCCAUAGAAUUACUCCAUAAAAAAUUGUCCUGGGCCUACAUAGAUAGCUUACCCUCACCUAAAUACCGAAAUACAACCUAUGUUACAAGAAAAAUUCAAAGCUGGCAAAUCGAAUUUAGGACCUCAGGUGCAGAGGUAAAUGCUCUUAAUCACUUGAGCUACAAGCUGCUUGCAAUAAAAUAACAACUUUAGUAAAACUAGCUUUUUUACACCGAUGAGAGGGAGAGGAAAGAGAUUCAUUAAUUAUACUUAUAUAUAAGUUUUGAAGAGUAAUGUUAGAAAAACCACAAGUGAAUACAUACGCAUUUAUAUAAGCAUAAUGAUGUUUUAAUCAAAAUACUAAUUUAAUACGUCAACUUGAUCAAGUAUAGUUGUAGGCUACAUACAAUACAAACGCAAUUAUCUAGGGAAAUCUAAAGUGCAUUAGCAUUUAAUCAAUCAAUUCCAACAUUACUCACCACUAUAAAUAAAGGUUCAGGAUUUCCCUAAAAAAAUUAAUCAUAUUCUGAUAUUCAUAUAAUGGAGGGUAGCAAAGAGGGGCUUGUGCUAAUUUUAUUAGCCAUUUCUUUUGCAAAGUGGGGAAGGCAACAUUUCUUUCUUUGUUUCUAUACUUGAUCACGCGGAUAGAAAUGACCAGAACAUGGCUGAGUACUUCGCAAUCCAAAGAAAAGAAAUGCGUGGACACUUUUCAAAAUAUGAUCGACUCAAAUGUUGCGGAGAGCCUUAGACAAGUGACAAAAUCAAUCGAUGAGGUCCUUGGUAUGAUCCAAGUGCAGCAGCAACAUCAUCUUCAUCGUCAUAAUAAUGUUACUGCAGCUCCAGGUUCAGAUCCUGAUCCUUAUGAUCCUGCACUUUCACGGACGGCAGACGUCACCUUGUCACAGAAUGAGAGUGGGAAAUUCAAGAGAAUAAUGGAUGCCAUCAGGGACGGAUCCAGGAUUUCAAACUUGACUGAGCUAAAUUUAACUUACAUAUAAACAUACUAAGGCCCAGUUUGGGAUUGCUGUCACUUUUAAAAAAAGUUGCUUCUGCUAUGCUUCGAAAAUAAUUAGCUGUAAAGUAAAGCAGCUCCAUGUUUGGUAAACAAAAUUUGGCAGCUUUUAUUUCUUCAAUACGUAAGAGUUAGGUUAUUGUGGCGGCUUUUAACUAGAUUAACCUUAGGUCCCUUCAUGCAUUCAUAUUAUACAUGAAAAAUUAGGGGUGGGCACGGUCCGGAUUGGUUCGGUUUUACUCUCAAACCACAGCUGAACCAAUAAGAAAAUAACGGUCCGGUUUGGUUCGGAUUAGCCUAAAAUCAUAAUAGAAACCGAACCAAUCCAAACCACUUGUAAUCGGUUUGGUUCGGAUUGGUUCGGCCGGUUUGUGCCUAACACAAAACCAUGCAUUUUUCAACCUGCUCUUACAUUAUAAUGCUAACAUUUUGCCAUUAUAUCAUUCCAUUCCAUUCCAUCAAAGGCUAAUACAACAUCAUUCCAUUUAUUCAAAGGUUGUCCAAUGUCUAGCAUGCAUCUAAGUUCACAAUUUCCAUCAAAACAAACAUAUACAAAAUUUGCAUUAACCAAGUAGCAUUAAAUUUACUCAUUGCAUUCAUCACAAUACAAACAAAUGAAAAGCUUUUAUCACAGAGAGGUAAAUACUUUUAUCACAGAGGUGGAGUUUGAAUGCGUAUGAAAUUAUGAAAUGGACCCAUUAAUUAAGAUAGAUAGAGUAAGAAGAGCCACACAACACAAAGAGCAAACACACAUAGUAGAGAUAGAAAGAGAGGGAAAUACAAGCACACACAAAUAACUGGGAUAUGCAAAUUAGAAGAUCAAAACGUGCACCAAUAUUCAGAUACGCGGACUCACAAAACGCACACAAACCUUACCACAUGUAAACUAAAUUAAAUAAAUAAUAAAUUGAUUUAUAAUCGGUCUGGUUCGGUUUAGGACAGUUUUUAAAACUCUCAAACCACAGCUGAACCAAACCAAACCGGUUCGGUUCGAUUUUUCAAAAUGUUGACUUUUUCUUUGGUCAAAACCAAACCAAACCAAUCCAAUAUAAUCGGUUCGGCCGGAUUGACCGGAUCGGCCGGAUUGAUGCCCACCCCUAUGAAAAAUUGUUGUGUAAAAAUAUUGGCUAAGUAUGAAAAUAGUUUUUCGGAAUAAUUAUUUUCUCAAGAUAAUUUUUGGCGGCUUUUAUUCCUUACACAUCAAAUAAGAAAACUUAAUUUUAUGAGAUUUGAGUAUGAAAUAUAUAUUGACUUAAUGAGCCAUUAUUUUGAGCCUAAAUCUUAUUUUGCACUAAAACAGAUUUUUCAUAUUUUGAUUUAGUGAGAAUUUGAUUUUCUAGUAUUUUUAUUUGAAUCCAAAUGGGGGGUACUUCCUUAUUUACAUUGUAAACUUAAGUAAAUGGAGUAAUAUAAUAUAGCCCAGGUUAGCCAUGCCUAUGGUCCGUCUCUGGAUGCCAUUGCGGCUGCACCAAGCCAUAGCCAGAAGCAGUUUGUGAUAUUUGUGAAGAAAGGAGUUUACAAAGAAUAUGCGAAGAUUGAUAAAACAAAGACUAACUUGGUGUUGAUUGGAGAGGGCUUGAGUGUUACCACCAUAUCUGGAGAUAGAAGCAAUGCUAGUGGUUGGGCAACAAUGAAGUCAGCAACAUUUGGUAAGACACCAAAACUUCUUAUUUUUUUUUUUUUUUUUAAAAAGGCUAAACUGUUGAUUUCCCCUUAAAUUAGUACCUAAUUUUUUAUUUAACCCCUAAUCCUUUUUUUAUUUAUAGAAAAUUAAGGAUGUCAAUUAUAAGGAUCUCCUCUUAACUUGUCAAGACACCCAUGGGCUACAUGGGCACAUUGAGUGGAGUGGUUUGCGGGGGGGAGAAAGAGGGGAUGCUGGGUUUGGGUGAGUAUGAUGGGGUGGCUAGGGGAGGAUGGGCUUGGUGGGAGCGGGCUGGGGCUGUGCCAUACUCUUUUUUUCUUUUCUUUUUCUUUAUUUAAGCCCCACUUGAUAAAUGUUCCUUUGCCUGUAUUCAGAAACUCUUUGGAGAAGACCACGGAACUUGUGCAAAAUUGCAUGCUAGCGAAGAUGAUGAAAAUUCUACUAAUAUGGUCAUUACAUAUUGUGAGGAUUUGCUUGGUGAAACUGCUGAAGUCUUGGAUUGGUCCUUAUCGUGCUACAUAUUGUGAGUGUUACCACCAUGUCUGGAGAUAGAAGCAAUGCUAGUGGUUGGCAAACAAUUGAUUCACCUACAUUUGCUAAGGCAUCAAAACUUUUAUCCAAAUAAUUAAGAUAUUAUUUUCUUUUUCAAGACUAAAUAUCAAAGUAAGAUAACACAUGCCUCAUUUUAAUUAACUUUCAUUGAUUGCUGAUGUAGAUGUAAGGGCCCAAGGAUUCAUUGCAAUGGACAUAGGAUUUGAGAACACUGCAGGACCAAACACUACAAGUCCUACACGAUUACAUCCUGAUCCUCAGUCUAUGUUUAAGAUCACUUCAUCAAAUUUUUUUAUUUUUAUUUUUUUUCAUGGCUAUAAGUUUGGUCAGAGGUUCAGCUUGGUUGUGAAAAACUCAACCCAAUUACCCAACACACGCUUUCCUUCUUCAAAGAGCCAUGCAAUGACUGCCAUCACCUGGGCAACAAGAAGAAGAAAAAAAUUGUGAACAUUGAACAUAUUUAGCCCAACUUCGAAGCGCAUGAUGCAUCUUUUUAGAAGUUUAAAUUUUACAUUGUAGAAUAUAAAUCUUGUAAACUGAUCUCUAUCAAAGUGAACUCAUAACAUAUUAAACUAUUACAGUGUCAAAUCACGUUUUCAAAAGAUCUUACAGUGGGUAUCGUUACUAUGAAAAACUCUGUGGAAUCAGUAUCGCGGAAAAGCUCACGCCCUUUAAUCAUCCUCUCCCUGAGUCGCUCUAAUUUGUCAACCUGCAUAUUGAAGUUUUAGAAUUAGAAGGCUAGCAUACUAGUCUAGGAAGCAGAGUAUAAAAGCAGCUCAAAGCAUCAGCCUUACUGCGCUCAGUUGAGGUUGCUCUUGCCCAACGACAGAUUUGAUAGCUGAGUGGCUGAAGACAUCUUAUGUUUAAGCUGUAUAAGAGAACAAGCAAUUAGUAGCAACACAUGCCUACAUGCUGCAAUCAAGUGAUCCAAGGACCAGAGGAAAUUGCCUAUUCUUUUUGUUCUUUUGCCAGGAUAUUAUGUUGGUACGUAUAAAAGCAGAAAGGAGUGUUCUUUUGUUUUUUCCCUCAUUUUUAUCUUAACUAGAAUCAAGUAAUUAGAACAUUAGGUAUAGCUAUCAAACUUCAAAGGAGUGUUCUUUUGUUUUUUGUUUUUGUUUUUGUUUUUUUUUUGCUAGCAAACUUCAAAGGAGUGUUCAAUUGCUCAUAAACUAUAUCCAUAAAAGAAAAGGACACACACACACACACAUAUCCAUAGUUGUUCAUUCAAAGUUGACAUCAAUAUCUUGCCAAAUGAUGCUUCCAAAAAAGUCUGGCAAUGUUGAGGUGACAAAAACAGCAUCAAUAUCUUGCCUAAUUCCAACUAAAUACUAAUAAUUAAGGUGAAAAAAACAGGAAGAGCAAAAAAGAUUGUGUGCAUGUUGGCAAGCCAGAAAAGACAUACCUUUGGAAUUGCAAUAGCUUCAUCCAAACCAGGAGGAGAUGUGUCCAGUAAUUAUCCCAGUUUUCACUCUCCUAACUUCAGUCAUUAUUAAAAAGAAACACACAAAGGUUAAAGAGAAGCAAAGGAUUAUAAGUGAAUCUAUAGAUCAUAAUGUGAGCAUAAAAGUUGCAACAUGGGAUGAAUUCAACAGAUUUUUCAAUCUUUGUUUCAUUCCGCUGGUUCUAAAGACGUUGUGUUUCAAUAUAAAAUACAAGCACACUUGGAAGUACUAAUUUGUUUAUGGAAUUGUUGCCCCAAAAGCCUGAACUGAAGAUUAGAUUGAUUGCUUGUUUAGAGAUAAGAAGAGGAACGUUGAUUGAUUGAAUUGAACACACACCAAUCAAUCUAAUCGUUUUAGUGUUCCACUAUUCUUUUAUUGAUUUGCCAGUGCUUAUAAACUACUCACACCAUGUUGUUUCAUCAAUAAAUAACCUUAUCCAAUGAUCUAAAUUACAACCUUAUCCAAUGAUCUAAUAGAAAAAAAACCAAGGGAGAAAACAAAAUAAGCUUGCUUCUAGAGAUAUUUGGUUUAUAUAAGUCAUCAUAUUGGGUUUUGCAAGUCCCAUAUAAAAGGGUGAGUUUCAUGAUCAUUGUCUUAAAUAAAUUUCCAUUUAGUAUAGGCCGAGACACCCAAUGAGUGUAAACCUAUCCUGACUUUAAAAAACGGGUGUAAUGGGUGCAUGCUUGCAGAGUACAAAUGUGGGUUGGCCUCUAGUGAGUGAGCGAGGACAUGGAAUUGAAGUGAGUAUUUAUUGAAGGGGGACAAGAAAACAAAGGUUGUAGAAGCUCAAAGCUGGUAGUUAACCCCUCCCUCCCUGGUGCCUCCUAUUUCUGCGUUAACUUCCCCUUUCACUCUAUGCUUGCAAUGGCAUUGUAUUUGCAUCCUUCCUCCUCUUGUUGAUUGUCACAAUACCUCAAAUUGCUACUCCUAAGGCUCUGGUCCUUUUCAUAUUUAUCUCCAACCCAUCCCCCCAUAUUUUAUAGAUAUCCCAGUCUCAUGUCAUUUUACUAGGGUUAAAUUCAUACACACCAUAUAAACAAUGACAUUAUGGCCCAUCAAUUCAUCACUUUACUUGUAGCUGGAGCAGAAAUUGGAUCUAUGCCUCAGGCAAAGCCUACAAAACUAGGUUGUUGCUAGAACUAUUUCGCUAUUUUUUUGUUUGUUGAGAGAACCUCAAUAAUAGGGAGAGCUAUCGCUUAUUAUUAUUAUUAUUAUUAUUAUUUGGGGUGUUUUGGAGAAUGCCCCUCAUUAUCAAAAUGAUAAUCUCCCUUAUUAAACAAUUAAUGUACUUACCAAAGUUACUGGUGGACAUGCCAAUCAACGAAUUUUGAACAAAAAACAUCAUACUUAACGACUUGUGCAUGGAAGCUCCGGCCUGGGCCGCCAUCAAGCCCACUCGUGCUUUCUUUUACAAGGAACGGAAAAGUGAGACAAUUAUGGGAAAUGACAUAGUAGAGCAUAUGCUAUGAUCAUCAUUGUGGGAACCAAAUUAAACCUGAACUUUAGGUCAAAUAAUUAGGCUAAUCAGUUUGCGAAUUAUUUGACCUAAUUAGGAGUUACCUAACCUAAUUGGGAGUUACCUAACCUAAUUGGGAAUUACCUAAUCAAAUUAGGGGUUAAUUGAUCCUCGCCUUAAUUAGGAAUUCAGUUAAAUCUCUAAUUCCUAAAUAUACCAACCUCACCAACCACACCAACCCCACCAACUACACCAACCCCACCAACCUCACCAACUACACCAACCCCACCAACCUCUCCAAGGCCACUAUAAAUACUUGGUUACGUACAAGGAUGAGGUACGUCAAAACUACUACUAAAACCUCUGUAGAGACCUUCCCUCACAGACCCUAGCUAUCUCCUCUCUCUCUCUCUCUCUCUCUCUCUCUCUCUCUCUCUCUCUCUUUUUUACAUAAGGCUCCGGCCGCCCGGUUUAUAUUAUAAACAUAUCUCCGUACCCUAUUAGCUAUUUUUUUCUAUACGAUUCAAUUGAACUAAUUUAGGCAUCGGAGGGCCUUUGGCCAACAUCCUCCGGGUGUGGUCCUCUUAUUUGUUCUAUUUUGCAGGGAGAAAGAGGCGGCUAAGAAGAAAGGAGAAUCUUUCCAAUUGAAUAUUCUCGUGGGAAAUUUGCUUCCACAAAUUGGUGUUUUCAUUGAGAGCAUGAGUUAUACUCAACGCGUGCUCAAGGAAUCCGUUCAUCCUAUUUUCCAAUCCACCGAAGCCUUCCAAACAACCAUGGUUGGAAGUAAGAAAACGAGAGGCAAAACUGCCGCGAUGGCUAGAUCCGCAACGGCCCAAAGCCAUUCCACCCACGAUCCCGCGAUCGACAUGGUGGCACCACCACCUCUCACCACCUUGCCACCUACCGGACCUCCAGCUGAGACCACCGCACUGGCCACCGCCGCCGAAUAUGGUAGAACCUCCCAUCAAGGUGGGCUCGUUACCACCGCCAACUUAGGUCCUGUCUUGGAGCAACUUCAAGCAUUCCCUUCAUUGCUUCCACGCUCCACACACUUCUCUUCUCCCUAUCCAUGAAGUCAAACAGACCUUAGUCUGAGAGUUGGCCAACUAGCUUAGAGAAUGGACGACCAAAGCAGUCUGAUGAGGCAGCUCCUCAACCAAAUAAGCUUGGUUCAAAACCUUGGCCUUGGAUAAGCGGGCGAAGAGAGUAGGAUGAGCGAACGCGACGGGCACGACGAGUACCAAGCAUGUCCAGCAGGAGUAAGCAGACAAGGCGAGGGACAACAACGUGAUCGGCUUUCCGACAUGUUGCAAGCAUCCGCGAGCCACACUCAGAUUGAGCCUAAGGAACGACAUGCGCGAGAGGCUGGGCCUACGACCUGACAUCCAUGCCCGCCUGGGCCCGCAGGGAAAUGUACAUCAAAGGCUAGGUCCCCAGGGAGGUCAGCCAAACAACCAUCGCAAUGAGGAUCGUGAAGAAAUACGCUCAGCUAUCCGCUCGCAAAGGAGCAUUCACGAAAGGCAAGGCCCCCAAGGAGGACAACUAGAUAACCUUCACAAUGAGAAUCAUGAAGAAAGGCGCUCCGCUGCUCACCCACGAAGAGUCGACCCUUACCAACAAGCUACAGAGAAUCCUUCACAAGCAUAGUCCACCAACGCGCUACCUUGGCAACGCAGACGAGAAGGUCGACCCUUGGAGGACAAUGAGGAAGUCAAUCAAUAUCGCGUAGGUCGCCAACGUAGCCGACUAGCAAUGUGUGUAGAAGACGUCGAGAAGCUCGUGAAUGAUAGACUUCGAUACUUGAAGACCGGAGGAAACUUCGAGGAUUCACUACGUAAGGAGAUGGACCAGGUGAACUCUACGCCUUUAACUCUCGAUAUCAAGCAGGCUGCUCACCCGAAUCGAUUCAUAAAGCCUUCAUUCACGCAUUUCAAAGGGGAUUCCGAUCCCGAGAGCCAUCUAAAGCACUUCAAAAGUAUCAUGAUCUUCUACAAGGCUAACGAAGUGCUGAUGUGCAAGGUGUUUGCAAUGACCUUGCAAGGAGCAGCCCAAGACUGGUUCCACACCUUGCCAUCUGGGUCGAUCAGCAGCUUCAAGGAGCUAGCUUACGUCUUCAGCAAAGAAUACACUUCUUAUUGGACGAUAAAGAAUACACUUCUUACUGGACGAUCAAGAAGAACCCUGACCACCUGUUCAACCUGCAAAAGAAGGACGAUGAAUCCCUCCUAAAUUACAUCAAGAGGUUCAAAGCAGAAAAAGCAAACAUCAUUGGAUGUGACGAUCGAAUUGCGUCAUCGACCUUCAAGAGGGGCUUGCCAAUUGAGUGUGAGCCGUAUCGUGAGCUGUCCAUCUCUCCCUGCCAAACACUAGUAGAAGUCUUUGCGACAGCAGAGCGCUAUGCACUUUGGGACGAUGACGGGACAGCAGCAAAGAAAGCUGCCAAGCAAGCCGAUCAACCGGUUGAGCCGGCAAGCCAAAGAAACGACAUGAUAAAAGACAAGGAUGGGGGCAAGCACGAAUUAUAGCCUCAGGGAGGUGCUCCAACAACUGAGAGCUACACCAAGUUCACUAUUCCGAUACAGCAGAUCCUAGCCCAAGUAAAGAACAUGCCUUGGUUGAAGAAACCAUCGCCUUUGAAGAGAAACCCAGCCAAGAAGGAUACCAGUAGAUACUGCGAAUUCCAUGAAGGGCACAGUCAUACAUAAAUGACUGCUUCACCUGGAAAAAGCACCUAAAAGAACUGGUCAGAGACGACCAUUGCACGGAAUUCAUCACAAGGGAGGCUAUUCAGCAAAUCAAAGAUUGUGAUGCAGCUGCCAACGAACCUCCACGAAAAGCCCGAGUUGACCACCGAGGAGCAUAAGAGAAAGAUCAUGCAAGCGACAAGAGCAGGUCUCCCAAGCUGUCACCUGCUACCCAAUCAUAGAAGACAAUCUCGACAUCAUAUUUUAAGGGAAGGAAGUUCUAAGACAACGAAAUGCCCAUCACCUCCGAAGGUACUAUCCAUGAAACUCCUCGCCUAUCAGCUCUGCUCCAAGCAGGCGGCCAGGCUUCCUUCACCUCCAUUGAAGACAAGUUACUUUUGAUGUUACCCCUGCAAGUCAUCUCUUUUGUUCAAUAAAGCAAUGUAGUCAAGUAGACUACAAUACAUGUUCAAGCUUCUCUUUCCAACGGAGUGUUCACAAAAGUAAUUGACACGUCUUCGGACGUAGGCCAAACGGGUCACACACAUCGACACGUUUCCGGACGUAGGCCAAACGGGCCACUCUCAUCGACACGUCUCCGAACAUAGGCCAAAACGGACCACACACAUCGACACGUCUCCGGACGUAGGCCAAAUGGGCUACGCUCAUCGACACAUCUCCGGACGUAGGCCAAACGGGCCACACACAUCGACACGUCUCCGAACAAAAGCCAAAUGGGUCACUUUCAUCGACACAUCUCCGGACGUGAGCCAAACGGGUCACAGUCAUCGACAUGAACGGGACACUCUCGUCGACACGUUUUCAGACGCAGACCAAACGGUCACACUGAUCGACACGUCAUAGGAUGUAGGCCGGACAUGCCACAACCCAGAAACGCUCAGGCAAUUCACAAGACACUAUCACUAUGCGAAUUGAAGUUAGAAAAAGCAACUGAAAUUUCCAUAGCAAGGUGACCAACCGGCUGAGUUCAACAAAAAGAUGGUCAAACAUGACCAAAUAUUUUAAACAAGAAAGCGGACUACAAAAGUUGGAAAGAAAUAAAGAAGUCUUCAUCUACUCUGAGACGUCGACAAGAAACCUAUGAUAUACAGCAUCUUCAGCAUCCGCCUGAUCAGCCACGCCCUCAGCAGCUCCACCUGCCUGCUCCACGACAUCUGCUGCCAUCUCAUCGGCUAAGUCCUCCUCUGCUCCAUCCUUUUCAGCUACUGCCUCAUCGGUUCUUUCCAUAUUCACAACAUUAACUUGCUCACUUUGCAAAAGGAACAAGUUCGACUAGCGCGCCUCAAUGUCACCAUCUUCAAUUGCAAAGAACGAAGUCUUCCCAUUUGUGCAGUGCAAGUAGCCCAACUUGUACGCAUCUAUGGUGGCUUCAAACUUGAAUUUCUCUGCAGACUUGUGGUGAGCGCGAACUUUAGCCAGAAGCUUGUCAUAGAUGAGGGAGAUAUCAGCCUUCUUGGGCUCGAGACGAAAGAAGACAUAUUUUUGACUAGCCAAGUCAGCAGCAGAAGAGUUAACCUCAGAAUCCUUUUCGGCAAGGGAGCUUUUUAGCUUCAAUAUCAUCGCCCUCAAAUCAGACGUCUUCUUCUCAUAACAGGCCUGCUCGGUAAAAAGCAUGCUGGCCAGUUCAACCUUCUUCUUCUCCAGCUCGCUGAGCUGAGCUGAAGAGGGGGCAACAACAGAUGAAUUAUGUAUAUUCUCAACAGCAAAAACCAAUCAUUUUUGAAGCAGAUGAAAUGUCGCUUCCCUUCGUUUUUUCAAGGAAAUACUCAAGAAGGUACCAAGAUCGCCGGCCUGACGGAUGUGAUAGACCAACUCAGCAUAGGAGGACGGGUUUGAUAGAAAGUUCAUCUUGAGCAGGUCAAACACGCAUGCAUCCCCUACAAGGCUGGACUUGUUCACUUUGGGAUCAACCGCCGACAUUGAAGAUGCCUUCGCCCGGGCAGAUGACUCUCUCGUCUUCUUAGCUUCCGCCAACCUCACCUCCAAAGGAGUCAAUUAUGCUGAAUCAACUUCACAAUUGACUGCUCGUGACUCAACAACUGGAUCAUGAGCAGACUUCCCGCUUCGAUCUUCAUCCUUUGACUGAUGUAAAUGACUCGAACUUCAAAGAGGAAUAUUUGCAUCUCUUUGACGCUCGGUAGAACGAGAUCAGGCACGAGCUGUUCCAAGAAGCAGAUCAUUGUUUUCAAGUUUGUCAGUAUGAGGCUCGAGUAGAACACCAUGAACACCUCGCAUACCACCAAACAUCCUGCUAUCUACACCAACGAGAUGUUUGACCCUGGCAGAUGACGAUGGAACCGCUCUUACUUGAGUCUUCUUAGCAGAAGGGAUCCUAGGCUUCUUCCUCAAACGGGGACACAUCUUUCGCCAGCGAAGUCGUAGCUUCAUUUUUUGAAGACUUGACAUCAGCAUUCCCUUUUGAAGGAAAGUCCGGUAGAACACUCCUCCUGCCCAGCCAGCAGGUCAUCUAAGUCUGAACCAUUAUGCUUCUAUCUCUCAACAUCCUGGGCAGGGGGUAGACCACUAACUUCCUCCCUUUACCCGCUCAAUUGACGUGGCCUGCAAUGUGCGAGGCUCAGCAUGCUCUAGCCCAGACCUGCGAUGAUAAGCAGCAGCUGGUCCAUCUGCGCGCACCUGUUCCACCACAGCUGCCGCCCACUGCCAACCGUCGCAUGUCACGACAACAACUAGCCUGACUUCCCCCAGCUGGCAUUCACCGCAAAAAAGAAGAAAAGACAAAGAAAAAGAAAUAUACAUGCUCGACUUACCUAAGGAUGCACGACGACUCCUUUCUUCGACAAGUAGUACAAAUUCUCCAAGAUCUCUCUCAAGCUAGAAAGUAGAGAAGUAAGUUUGCGAUAUAAAGAAGAGUGAAGAGAAGCCAUGCAUUUACACAGGUUGGGCAUCCUAGGUGAAGAAGGAAUUACAAGCCCGUUCCUACUGGGAACCCAACUCCAAGAACAAUCAAAAGCUCACUCCAUUUGGGAACCCAAUUUACAAAAGGAGCCCAAGUCACAGAAGGAAGCCCAAUUACAGCUGGACAGCCCAAUAGUUGAUUCACAUCUUCUACAUGCCACCACGCGCUAUGCAGAAACUGGCGGGCAUUUGUGGGAACUAAAUUAAACCUAAACCCUAGGUUAAAUAAUUAGGCCAAUCAAUUUGGGAAUUAGUUGACCUAAUUAGGAGUUACCUAACCUAAUUGGGAGUUACCUAACCUAAUUGGGAAUUACCUAAUCAAAUUGGGGGUUACUUGAUCCUCGCCUUAAUUAGGAAUUCGGUUAAAUCCCUAAUCCCUAAAUAUACCAACCUCACCAACCUCACCAACCCCACCAACCUCACCAACUACACCAACCUCUCCAAGGCCACUAUAAAUACUUGGUUAUGCACAAGGAUGAGGUACGUCAGAACUACUACUAAAACCUCUGUAGAGACCUUCCCUCACAGACCCUAGCUAUCUCCUCUCUUUUUUUCUUUUUUUUUUUUACAUAAGGCUCCGACCACUCGGUUUAUAUUAUAAACAUAUCUCCGUACCCUAUUAGCUAUUGUUUUCUAUACGAUUCAAUUGAACUAAUUUAGGCAUCGGAGGGCCUUUGGCCAACACCCUCCGGGUAUGGUCCUCUUAUUUGUUCUAUUUUGCAGGGAGAAAGAGGCGGCUAAGAAGAAAGGAGAAUCUUUCCAAUCGAAUAUUCUCGUGGGAAAUUUGCUCCUACAAUCACCUCAUAAUAGGCAGUGCCUCUCCAUAAAAAUAGGAGAUACCACUUACCAUAUAAAACCUAUGGUUUCCAAAGCAUCAUAGCUGAUAUUUAAUUACUGAUGCAUCCAGUUUGCAGGACCUAAACUUCUUAAUCCAAAUAGGUUUCCUCCUAACUCUCAACUUCUUAAUCCUUAUGGUCAGUGUAACUCUUCAUAAUCCAAAGAUUAUAAUUCCUAAUUUGGAGCUGCACAAUGUUUUUGGUCAAAAAUGAUUUCAUGAAAAGCCCCAGAACACUAGAAAGGUAGAGAAACAGACCAAAGGAAAAAACUGCACACAACCCAUUUCAGCUCACAUACAAAAUACGAGAGAGAGAGAGAGAGCCACAUACCCAAAAUAAGUCAGACGGCAGCAUUGUCGACGGACUCGGUGUCUCCACCGCCGGAGAUCAGCCUCCACCGCCUCUCCCCCAAGAUCUUUACACCUCAACAGGCGCACACCUAAAAUAAAAGAGUUAAAAUAUAUUCACAACCUGCUUUCUUUUUAUUUUUAAAAAUAAUAAAUAAUAAAAAAUAAAUUACAAUUUUACCCAAAAAGCAAAAUAGCCGAUCACUAAAACAGAGCGCCACCUUCAUUCUUUCCGGCUAUAUAAACAAAGCAUUAUCAAGUAACUAAACCCCUAUUUUUUGAGUCCCCAAACAACUUCUUUCUCCCAUUUUCUGAGUCCUCAAACAAUUCUUAGUGUGAGAAGAUGGGAAAAAGCAAGAGAGAGAGAGGAAAAUGGCUAGGAAAAAGGAGCUGUUUCCCUACAACCUCUGCGACCGUAGCUUUCAUACCAUGUGUGGAUUUCAAGAUCACUCCAACGAGAUCCAUGGAAUGAAGAACAAGACCACUGUGUGCCUUGCAGGUGGAGCACACUUUCUCACUUGUUGGCGUGACUUGUGGAUAUUGACUUACUUUCCUUACACACCAAGAAUUCCUAUUAUAAUUGUAAUUGAUUUACUUUAAUUUCUGAUUUCCUGCUGUAAAUAGAUUUAGGAUUUUAUUAUUUACUUGCCCAUUCAGGUUUCGUUGUAUUAUAAAUAUGACCUCAUACAAGGAGAAGAAUAUACAGAAAAUUCCCACAAACAAAUAUUCUCUCAUAGUUUUCAUAUUUUAGCAUGGUAUCAGAGCAGCGAUCUUGGAAUUGCUGACUCUAGUUUUAAACCCACGCGGCCUCUAUGGGGGUUGAUUUUUUCAACCCUCGUGAUGCUAUUGUCACCGCAGUUCACCUGAUCAACCGCAUGCCUUCUGGUGUAUUAACCUUUAAAACUCCCUUACAGGUGCUUGAGCAACACAAACCUCUGCCAUAUGUUUUGGUACUUAUACCCCGAAUCUUUGGAUGUGUGGCUUUUGUUCAUCUUCACAAAAAUCAACGUAGCAAAUUUGAUCCCUGUGCGCUUCGUUGUGUUUUUGUGGGUUAUGCCACUCAUCAGAAAGGCUACCGCUGUUAUCACCCUCAUACCCAACGUACCUAUGUCACUUUGGAUGUGACAUUUCUGGAAUAUGAGCUGUUCUUUCAUGACCUAUCAUCCAAUUCUACGCUUCAGGGGGAGAUACAAAGUGAAGAGCAGAAUUGGAGCAACUUGAAAAACGAAGAAAUUCCCCUAUGUACAGAAAUGAUUGAUCGUCCCAAGUCUGGAGCACUAGAUUACUCUUUACCGAAAAGCAAUCAAUCACCCAUUCAUCGCGAUCAAUUGUCAUGUGAAGAUAUUUCUGAUCCGAGUCUCACACCUACAGACAAUACAGAACAACAAGAUGAAGACCUCCCUCUAACUCAACAGUAGCAAUAGACCAAUCUUCUGAAAAUAUCCUUGAGGUAACUACUCCUACUAGACUUGUGCAUUUAGAGGAUAAAACUAUUAAAUAUCAAUUACCUUUCAGGCAAAAUCGUGGGAAGCCACCAAACCGUUAUUCACCUGAUAUUGGCAAGACAUCCAAGUAUCCAAUUGCAAAUCAUGUAUCCACUGAGAAGCUGUCUGAACCACUCAAGGCUUUUGUGCAUCAGCUGUCUGCUAUUCAUAUUCCAACCAAAGUCUUUGAAGCAUUGAAAGAUCCUAAAUGAGUCCAAGCUAUAAAAGAUGAGAUGAAAGCACUUGAGAAAAAUCAGACUUGGACAUUGGAGACUAUACCACGAGAAAAUAAGACUACCGGAUGUAGAUGAGUGUUUACUAUAAAACACAAUGCAGAUUGAUCUAUCAAGCGAUACAAGACAAGACUUGUGGCAAAAAGGUACACACAGACCUAAGGUAUAAACUAUGAAGAAACCUUUGCUCCAGUUGCAAAGUUAAACACCGUCAGAGUCUUAUUAUCCCUUGCAGCUAAUUUGGAUUGGUCACUAUACCAGUUUGAUGUAAAGAAUGCUUUUCUACAUGGCGAACUCAUGGAGGAGGUGUAUAUAAACAUUCCUCCUGGAUAUAAUACUACUCAGACUGGAACAGUUUGCAGGUUACGAAAAGUAUUGUAUGGAUUGAAACAGUCACCACGUCCAUAGUUUGGACGGUUCACCAUGGCAAUGAAGAACAAUAGUUUCAAACAAUGCAACUCAGAUCAUACUGUGUUCUUGAAACAUCGGAAAGAGAAGGUAACAACAUUAAUAAUCUACGUUGAUGAUAUGAUUAUUACUGGGAAUGAUAAACAGGAAAUAACACAGCUACAAGACUAUUUAGCUACUGAGUUUGAGAUGAAGGAUCUAGGUGGACUCAAGUAUUUCUUGGGAAUUGUGGUGGCUCGAUCGCAGCAAGGCAUAUUUCUCUCUCAAAGGAAAUAUGCCUUGGACUUGUUGACAAACACAGGAAUGCUAGACUGCAAACCUGCGGACACUCCUAUUCUUCAGAAUCAUCAUCUUGGAGAAUAUCCGGAUCAAGUUCCAACUAACAAAUAAAGAUACCAAAGGUUAGUAGGAAGAUUGAUUUAUUUGUCACAUACUUGACCAGACAUUGUUUAUGCGGUGAGCGUUGUCAGUCAAUUUAUGCACUCUCCAAGUGAAGACCACAUGAAUGCAGUUCUUCGGAUCCUGAGAUAUUUGAAGUCUGCACCUGGAAAAGGACUUAUGUUCUCAAAGCAUGGUCAUCUAAAUAUUAAUGGUUAUUCAGAUGCAGAUUGGGCAGGUAAUGUAACAGACAGAAAAUCCACAUCGAGUUACUUCACAUUCGUGGGAGGUAAUUUGGUGACAUGGAGGAGCAAGAAACAGAAUGUAGUAGCUUUAUCCAGUGCAGAGGCCGAGUUCAGAGGCAUGACUAAAGGAAUUUGUGAACUUCUUUGGUUAAGAAAGUUGCUUACUGAACGUGGGUAAAAACCUACAUCCACAAUGAAUCUCUUUUGUGACAACAAGGCUGCUAUAGCCAUUGCACAGAAUCCGGUUCAGCAUGAUCGUACUAAAUAUGUUGAGGUGAAUCGACACUUCAUCAAACAGAAGCUUGAUGCUAAAGUGUUUCAGUUUCCGUUUGUGAAAUCCGAGGAUCAAUUGGCGGAUAUUUUGACAAAGGCGAUUUCCAGUAAAAGCAUUCCACAAUUCACUGGAUCAGUUGGGCAUUGGUGACAUCUAUGCACCAACAUGAGGAGGAGUGUUGGCGUGACUUGUGGAUAUUGACUUACUUUCCUUACACACCAAGAAUUCCUAUUAUAAUUGUAAUUGAUUUACUUUAAUUUCUGAUUUCCUACUGUAAAUAGAUUUAGAAAUUUAUUAUUUACUUGCUCAUUCAAGUUUCGUUGUAUUAUAAAUAUGACCUCCUACAAGGAGAAGAAUACACAGAAAAUUCCCACAAACAAAUAUUCUCUCAUAGUUUUCGUAUUUUAGCAUCACUUACGUGGAUUACAUCACCUUCCAUCCAACAGCAAGAUAAUGUUUCCUUUUGCUAUAUUAAUUUCAAAAGUAUUUGUUUAACUUGGAAAAUUUAAUUAACACAGUGUUUGGCUUUCUUUUACGGAAAUGUGGAGGCCACAACUGAGCAUUCGUGGUUGGGGGACUUGGGAGUUUUGGGUUCCUAGUUCCGACACCGGUUGUCAUUUCAGAAGAUCUAUCUACUCAGUUUAGUACAUGUCUAUCUACUAUAUUCCUAGUUCAAAAAAAUUCUGAAUUUGUCUAUCUGGUUUAUAAGUCGAUGAUGAACUAAUUGGUUAAUUUGUUUGAAUAUGCUGAAUUCUUCUACGCCCAUGUGUUCUUGGAUUUGGCCGAUGAUGGCUUUUGAUUGCUAUACCUAUAUCGGUUAUCUGUCAACAGGUGUUUGAUUUGAUGAUAAUCAUAUGAAAUGCAUGCAUGAGCGUCUGAAUUUAGAUACUAUUGCAUCUGUAUGUUAACAGAAGUUUCCUUAUGAUGUUUCUUUCAAGAAAAGCAAACUUGCCAUGGUUCAACAGACUAGAUUUCUUUGUUGAUACAGAGAACAUUUGACCUUACCUUACAUGUCUGUUCUGUAAUAACAUAUCUAAAUGAGACAUCAAAACUGGAAAUGAUUAUCAAUAGGAUCAAAAUUUGCUCAGUGAAUCUGAUAAUAUUGUGUAAACGAAGUAUUGCCACUGUGCUUUUCAAGCUGCAUGAAAUAACCAUCUCACAGAUCAAAAAACAAGUCACAUUCAUCAAGUUCCGAAAAUAAUGACCACAAAGAAUGCAGACCUGGAGAAAUGAUUCUACAGAUUGUUGAUCUUUUGGUAAAAAAGGCACCUCAUCUCUCUUCUUCCGCACAAAUUCAAUGUUUUGCUCCACCUGCAGUUCAAGAAUCAGAGCUUUUUGGUCACAUCAGAAAGAUAAUUCCUAUGGCAUUAAUUACAUUACCAGCCAGCCAUGGAGGCAGUACAAGCAGUCUAUUAACAAUGUUGGUGAGUUCACAAAAGCCUAUAAAGGAGCCAUUACUGUGCCAAACAUUCUUUUCCAUAUAAUAGUUUUAUUCGAAUUUCCCUCACACAACUUUGGAAUAUACGAUUUUACAAGAUGGUUGACCAGGCUGGACCCAGGCAUGAAAUAAUAUCAGUACAGCCUGAAUAUUGAGACCACACAUGCCUCCCUAAAUUUUUUAAUGAGCUAUGGCCUACUAAUGAGGAAACCAGUAGAUAAGAGACCUAUGUCUCAAGUGUCCUUACCUCCGGAAAAUAAAUUCCUUUGUCAAGGAGAGAGAUGCAAUUAGUAAAACACUAAAUUCUUCUAUGGUAACUGUACCUGAUCAAUAAAACGCUUCACUAAAACUCUCUACAGUGGUUAUCUCAUGAAACUUCCUCAAACGGACAAGGGGAAUAGUCGCCAGAUCGGGAAAAGAAAUAUGAUGACUCCACUGUUCUUGGAAGUUCCUUGAUUUUAACCAAUAUGCUUUGGAAACUGUACCAAAAAUAAGUAAAACCAGACCGAAUUGCAUAACCAAAUUGCACACUUUUUUAUUUUUUUAACGUUACUAAUUCCUAACCUUUACAGAACAUAAAAUAUUGGUGUCUUUUCCAGGUUUUCCGACAUCCUUGCCAAUUUUAUAUUCCAGAAUAUCCAACACCAUGGAGGCAACAGGAAUGAAAAUGCCACUGGAAGAGGAGAGAUGAUUCAGCCAUUGAAUGCAUUUGAUUCUUAAAGGCAAAUAUCUGGGUCCAGAAAACAAGACAGCCACUCCAUUUAUAAUAUGAAGGAUUGUAAAGAGCAAUGGAUGAAGAUCAUAAUCAUGUAUGUUGGCUGAUAUAAACAUAACCCAUAGAUCAAUGCAGCUAGUGUACUGCCAACUGCAUAUCUUCUUGACCGCUUCCUGGCCAUAGAAAAUGAGCAGAAUUUCAGGGAAAAUAUCACUGGUAAAUUCUAAAUACCAUAAUUUAUUGUCCCACACACACAUAAACUAACUUGAAAUAGCAAAAAAAAAUUAUCUGCCUGAACUGAAUUUAAGGAAACAAGCAGCUGAGAGGAUUGCACUAAUGGUGGCAAUACCUUCUUCUUUGUCAAUAAACCCUGCUUCAGUAUCUUAGCAAGUUGCUGGAUCGAUGGACACCGAUGCUUUCCUUGAUGCUUUUUGCAGAUCCACAGAGCAUAGCUCCACAAAGGAGUUUCUUAGAAAUUGUAUGUGUUGAAAUAGAACAGGCUCCAAAAAUUGGCAAUGACCAAUAAAGGUUUUAUAUGUAUUAACAAAGCAGGUGUCAAAGCAAUCAGAGCGAAAAACAGAAGCCACAUCACGUAUGAUGAGAAAGGAUAGAGAUGAUAUAGUCCCUCUUCCAGUUGCCCACAGAUGAACGGGCUAUGACUAGCACUUUAAAGAUCACUCAAACUUGCAGGAUGCCGUAAGUUAAACUCACAACUGCUCUGUUUGUGUGUGUUCUUGCAUGCAUGCACGCGCAGAGAGAGAGAGAGAGAGAGAGAGAGAGAGAGAGAGAGAGAGAGAGAGAGAGAGAGAGAGAGAGAGAGAGAGAGAGAGAGAGAGAGAGAGAGAGAGAGAGAGAGAGAGAGAGAGAGAGCCUAAUCCAAAUGGGUUUCCGACUGGCCUUCAACCUGCCCUUGUGGUUAAGUGCGCUUGCACUAACUCCUAGUGGGUCUUGGGUUCGAAGGUUGGUACCACAUUCUCUACAAAACCCAAAUGGGUUUCCUAAUCUCCAACGGAUGAUAUGGGGUUAGUCUCCUAAUCCUAUGGGCAUUGUAAUUCUAUUCCAUAAUAAAGGAGGAUAGAACAAGAAAAUAGGUAUAAAUAGGGGUAGGUACUAGUCCAAAUGGGUUUCCUAAUUUCCAACGGAUGAGAUGAGACCAAUCUCCUAAUCCUAUGCGCAUUGUAAUUCUAUUUCUUAAUAAAGGAGGAUAGAACAGGAAAUCAGGUAUAAAUAAGGGUAGGUAUCAGUCAUUUACUAGUACUAGUACGUUACGUUCAAAGCAACGUCUUUCAGCAAAUAAGAAAAUUUGAUGAUUAAUGGGCAGCUUAUUUCAAUCUUCUUGGUGAUUAUUUCAGCAAAUAAGAAAAUUCUUCUUCUGGAUUUUAGAGUAUGACUUCAGGUAAAAUUUUCUCAAACAAAUUAUUGUCUUCUUAUAUUCCUUAUUUCUUUUAGUUUUUUUAAACAAAUUCUUACGUAGCUAUUGCAAUUUGUACUCAUUAUUAAGUGAAUAACACCGUUUCAUUCUUCUUCCUUGUUAUCUCUCUAACGUUCUUUUUGUUUUGUUUUUGUUUUUCUUCUAGAUUGGGCAGGAUUGCCUCACCAUCUUUUGAGUUCAAUUUUUGAGAGAUUAGCGUCACCAUUAGACUAUCUGCGAUCCAGUAUUGUUUGUAUGUCAUGGCACUGAAUGGCAAAGGCUCAUGAAAAACAAUUUGCUAAGAUGCAAAGUUGUCAUCAUUCUCCUCCAUUGCUCUUGAUUCCUACUGACAAAAAUAAUAUAUGGAAAGUCUACAACGUCAUGGAUGAUAAGCUACUGGAUUUGCAAGUAAGAGUCCCAAAUAAAAGAUUUUGUGGUUCUUCAAAAGAUUGGUUAAUAGUUGUGGAGAGGAAUUAUGCAAUAACCCUAAUAAAUCCAUUCUUUAGGGUUAUAGGGGGAGAAAGAAAGAAAACUCCAUCAUUCGUCUUCCUCAAUUAAAUAUUCCGCAGUGCGAGGCAUGGGCUGCAGAUUGUAACAAUUUUGUCUUCAAGGCUUCGAUUUCAGCAGACCCAAUAUUAAAUGCAAACGAAUGCAUUGUUACAGUCAUAUACCAAGAUAAAUGUCAAGAGUCUUUUAUUAGACUAGGUAAAGACACGACGUGGACUUUUGUUGAUGAAAGGUAUCAUCUGAUUGAAGAAGUUGCUGCCAUUGAGAAUAAAUUUUACGCAGUCGAUCAUUUUACCAAACUUUUAUCUUUUGAUAUCACUACUCAGAUGUAAAGAUUAUCGCACAAGAGAUGAAACUACGGUUAUACGAUAAGAAGACAUAUACCGUGAAUUUAAUUGAAGAAAUUAUAAUGCUCCUAAGGUAUUUUGACUUUGACUUUGAUGCGCGCAAACGUGUGACGACAAACUUCAAGGUUUUCAAAUUGGAUUUUGAAAAACGCAAGUGGAUUACAAAAAAAAACAUUAGGUGAUGCUGCUAUCUUUUUGGGUGAUAACUCUUCAAUAUCUGUGUUAGCUUCAGAAGUUUCAGGAUGUCAGCCAAAUUGCAUAUACUUCAACCAUGACAAUGAAUGUAUAUUUAAUGAAAUUCGUAAACCUCAUGAUUUUGGUGUGUAUAACGUCAAAAAUCGAAGCUUUUCGCAACCUUACAACACAGAUGCCAUGAUGGUCAGUCGACCCCCAAUUUGGAUUGUGCCAAGCCUUCAACUGUAAAAAGCUAGCUUAUUCUCCUCAUAUUUAUUUCUCUUACAUUGUACUUUAAGAUUUUAAAGGUAUUUGGUUUACUUAAGCUUGUUCUUUCUCAAAUUUGUGUUGCUUCAAUCUUAAUUCACGUAUGAACCUCUCUUGAAAAUUUAUUAAAAUUCUACAUGUGUUUUACAUAGCUAAUAUAAUUUCAUUUUGAAAUUUAAUUCAUAUCGAUACUCUUAUCGUAUAUACUUGGUCGUGAAGGCUUCUUGCCGUUAAAAAUAAACGCUAACAUCGUCAGCUGGCAUUGACGCCUUGGUUGAAGAUGAAGAUGCUUGUUGAAGAUGCGCUCCUUUUUUUUUUCUUUUUUUUUUUUAAAUUUUUUUUCUUGCAUUGACAUUAAGACGUCAAGCAUCACCAAAACUUUUAUCCUUGGUUGAAGAUGUUUGUGUUUCAGUUUUAUCAUAUUCACUGUUUCUCUGCAUGCUAGUUAAUUUCUAUAUGAUUGUGCAAACCUCUUAUACAAUACAACAAACAACUGCCGUUCAUUUCUUUUUACAGAGCAGAUUACAGAAAAAUGAAAAAAAAUGCAUUUAUUAUAAGACUGUUGUAAUUGACAUUGAGAGAAGAGAGAUUAGGAAAGGCAGAGAAGUCAAACCUGUUGAGUGUUCCAUCAAGGCCAGAAUCCACCAAAUUUAUUUCAACAAUGCUGCCAGCUUCAUUGCAUUGAAUUCCAGUCCAGUUGCAAGGGCUGCUUCUGCUGCUAUCAAUUCAGGAGAAAAAUGUUUGAGCAAAAUCAUAGGCUGGUUGGAGAAUAUAUAUGGUUUUUGUGGAGAAUUAUAAACUACAUAUUAACAAAAAACAUGUUUCUGCAAUAAUCAACUAAAGAAAUCCGAGGGUCCAAAACGACAGCGCAAAUUACCUUGAACAAAACCAUAUUUGAUGAUAGAGGGUACAAUUACAAGAAUUAUUUUGCAUCAUAUGUGUAAAUGGUACCCAAAGAGAUCAAACUAAUUUCUAUGUAUGACAAGAGGCUUAAUAAUCAUAUAAGAACCUAGGAUGGUUUACAUACGAAACAGAGUACAUCCAUUUAUUUUAUGAUCCUUGGUUCGCUUGAACUGGAGCAACAGAAUGAUUGGGAGCGUAAUGGCCAAAUCACAUAAAGUCCAGCUUGGUUACACGUCCCAGUAUCGGAUGGAGGCACAAGAUGAUAGACACAAGUAUUAACAUCCUAUGCAAGAAAGAAGAUACCUCCACCUUUUAUACAAACUAACUGAGAAAGUACCCUUCUGAAGCUGCUUUCUCCAUGACCUCUUUCUGCGCAAAAGAAGUUAAAUAAGAGUCAACUCUUCCAAUGUUCAUUAUCAGAUUUAUGGGGAAUUGACUAAUAUACUCUUCUUUCAUCAUGUGUGCAACAAUUUUGACACAUUUGGUGCCAGAGAAGAAUAUAUAGAUUUACCUGGAUUAUUGUAGUGACCAUCCCAGGACCCUCCUGGUUAUAAUUGCAAAACAAAUAAAUAGUGAAGAAAAGAACAAAGAAAAUGUGCAGAACAGUUGCAGCAUCUUAAAACUCUAGAUGCACACACCUCAAAAUGUUUGUCUUUCCAUGAGAUCUCCUCCCAAGAUUUAGAAUUUAGUGAUUCCCAUGAACUUGGAAAACUAAUUCUCUCCGCGUGCUGCAGAAGUCUCAAGCUACCUGCAAUGUAAAUCUCUUUAAAUCUUAUAUGAUAAAAUAUUCUAAGAAGUGUUUCCUGUGCCCAAAUUUAAAGUUGGAAGAGAUAAGUAGAGGCUUACUUGUAAUGAACGCCUCUGCCCAAAAUUCACUCUCUGACCACGAUGGUGCAACUUCUCGAAAGGGGAUUCCCUUGCUCAAGCAUACUCUACAUAAAUUACAAGAAGCGCAAUCAACUGAUCAGCUACCAAAAUGGGAAUCACUUAAUAAAAAGUGACCCGAGUGCAUUCAAAUACAAUAUGUAUCUUGGACCAGAAUUCCCAAGUUAAUACUUCCUCCAAGGUCACUCAUAAGAGCUCAAUAACCCUAUGGAGAAAACCUUGCAAAACAGUUUAUUUAACUUUUUCAAACAUUCAAAAGAACCAGCGGACACUAGAAAAGGCUAAUCAGAAUUUCCCUUUUUAAACCACAUACACCAUUCAACACAAACUGUGGAUACUAAAGAAAAUAAGACUUCCAUGUGUAAAGAAAUAACCAGACACCAGACAACACAAACUGUAGCGAUGACGCUAAUCUACAUAGUAAAUAUAUUUGAAAAAAAAUAUAGUCAGGGGUUCAACAGCAGGAGGGGGGACUUACUCAAUGACCAAUUGGCGUAUAAUUCCUGGAAGGACAUGAUCAAUAAUAGGAGCUGUCUGUACUUCAAAACAGUGCACACUUUGCCCCUUAGCUUCAUCGUUAUCCUGAAAGCACCUUUCACAUUGUUUUCCAAUUAAACAGCUAUCUAUAACUAGGAGAGUCUAAGACACAUCACUUGGUCAUAAACAUACUCUCCUUAUCAACAAACUGACAAAGAAGUCUCACUUAAAACUGAGUUAAUCUAAUGUAGUUAAAAAAAAUUCAAAAUCCAAGAGCCUCUAACCUUCCGGCAGACGACAAAGAAGUUUGAGACCGUCCCCUCAAGAAUCCGGUCACCGUCAUUAGACAACAAGAGCUCGGUCCCAUUGGGAGGCCUCAACCUCUCCAAAGACUUCCUAAUCCUGCAAGUUAAGCAACCCAGCAAUCAAAACUGCUGAAAAUACUUAAAGCCCAAGUAAGAAAAAUCCAAGCUUUAACUCAUUCACACAUUGAUAAGUUGUCAGAUAUAACCAACCUCACCCAAUCCGAAUACUUAGCAGAAGCAUCGUCUCUCCCACGACCCACCACAGCCAAAUGCGCACCGUUUCCUUCGAUACCAAACACAGUUGGCACAUAAGUCCCAAUGUAAAUACUCACAUCAAAAACCCCAUUGCCAAAUCUUUCAUGGUCCAAGCCCUCACUCUCAUUCUCACUCAAUUUCUCCAAAUUGCCACUGACCAGAGCUGUAAUUGACAGUUCUUCUCCCUCACUCCUCUCAUUCAAAGCAAUCGGCAACACUCGUUUCAUCGAACGAUUCACGAGCUCGCGAACCUCUGACUGGAGCAAAGGGGAGUUGGAGGAGAGCGACGGCAACGAAAGCGACGUCGUUUUGUUGGGUCCGAACAGAAGCUGAGGAUUCGAAUUGUAUAGAAUUGCUACUGAGUCCACCAGUCUCUUCAACUGUCGUUCCCAGAACAGCACGAACGACGCGUCUUUGUGAGUGCGAGACGUCGUGUACGCUCCUGGUGUGAUCGGAGCAGGCGCGAAAUUGGAUUUUGUCGUUAGUGUUUUUGGAAAAAUUGAAUUUGAUUCUCAAACAGAGAAACAGAGAGAAUGGUGUACCUGGAUGCGUUUCGAGGAAGCUUGUAACCGGUGGAGUGUUGGCGGGCUGUGAAACGACGCCCUUGCUGAACAAGAACCUGGGGCUUAAAGUCGCCAUUGAUUUAGUUGCUGAUGGUCGCCAUUGAGUUUUAAUCGUUGAGGUUCUGGGUUUGUAGUAGUGAAAGUGAUCGAAGAGGUUGACUGCAAGUACAGUGUCGUUCAUUUGUAAUGAAAUAUAGGACAGUACGAAACUCUCGUUUUUAGAACAACAAAUUGUAAAGAUAAAGAAAUGACAAUUUUUUAAUUUAAAAAAAUACAUAAAGAAAUUACAUUUAACCAUUAAAUAUGUAUGAGAAAUUCAAGAAAAAAAAAAUAUGUAUGACAAACCGCAUCAUGCAUUAGCAUUACUAGUUUUCAAUACUGAAUAUGUGAAAAUGGACACGCAUUUUAUUUGUUUUUGCUUCAAUUUAACAUGAAUAUUUAAUGAAAUUCGUAAACCUAAUGAUUUUGGUAUGUAUAAUGUCAAAAAUCGAAGCUUUUCGCAACCUUACAACACAGAUGCCGUGACCUUAAUGAAGAUGGUCAAUCGACCCCCAAUUUGGAUUGUGCCAAGCCUUCAACUGUAAAAAGCUAGCUUAUUCUCCUCAUAUUUAUUUCUCUUACAUUGUACUUGAAGAUUUUAAAGGUAUUUGGUUUACUUAAGCUUGUUCUUUCUCAAAUGUGUGUUGCUUCAAUCUUAAUUCACGUAUGAACUUCUCUUGAAAAUUUAUUAAAAUUCUACAUGUGGUUUACAUAGCUAAUAUAAUUUCAUUUUGAAAUUUAAUUCAUAUAUCGAUACUCUCAUCGUAUAUGCUUGGUCGUUUGAAAUUUAAUUCAUAUAUCGAUACUCUCAUCGUAUAUGCUUGGUCGUGAAGGCUUCUUGCCGUUAAAAAUAAACGCUAACAUUGCCAGCUGGCAUUUGACACCUUGGUUGAAGAUGAAGAUGCUCGUUGAAGAUGCGCUCCUUUUUUUCUUUUUCUUUUUUAUAUUUUUUUUAAAUUUUUCUUGCAUUGACAUUAAGACGUCAAGCAUCACCAAAACUUUUAUCCUUGGUUGAAGAUGUUUGUGUUUUAGUUUUAUCAUAUUCACUGUUUCUCUGCAUGCUAGUUAAUUUCUUUAUGAUUGUGCAAACCUCUUAUACAAUACAACAAACAACUGCCGUUCAUUUCUUUUUAUAGAGCAGAUUACAGAAAAAUGAAAAAAAAUGCAUUUAUUAUAAGACUGUUGUAAUUGACAUUGAGAGAAGAGAGAUUAGGAAAGGCAGAGAAGUCAAACCUGUUGAGUGUUCCAUCAAGGCCAGAAUCCACCAAAUUUAUUUCAACAAUGCUGCCAGCUUCAUUGCACUGAAUUCCAGUCCAGUUGCAAGGGCUGCUUCUGCUGCUAGUGAGAGUCCAUGAUGUUAAAGAAGAAGAACUUAAACUGAUUUUCCAGUUUAGCAGAGCUUCUGCUUCAGUUUGUGCAUGGAUUGCUCAGAAAAAGCCCCAGCGUCAGCGCCAAACACCGGCAACUACUCAGAAAAAGCCCCCUGCUUCUCCCAUCCCCGUCAACACCACCUCCGUUUCAAAAAGGUCAGUCCUUUUCUUGGAUUCGCUGUUUGGAUCCCGAGAUCAUUCAAUUCGCAACUAAACUUGGUUUGUUUCAAUGCUGUUGUAGGCUUCAGAAGGAGUUGAUGUCUCUGAUGGUAUGAUAUGUUUCUCUCUUUUAUUACUUUGUUUGGAAAAAUUCUUUGCUUUUGAUUUUGCCUGAAUCUCUGUUAAUCUUUCAUUUCUUGUUGUAUUUGUUUAAUUUUGUCUAAAUCUCGAACUGGGUUUUCUGUGGGUUCAAUCUUAAUUUCAUAAGCUGAAACUUGAAGCAUAAUCUAGAAGAAGAAAAAAAGGGGACUUUCUUGAUUCUUGAUAAUCCUGGGAUGAUGGGGAUGUGUGGUGCAGAAGUUAGGUAGGUAGGUGUGUGUGUGUGUGUGUUCUCUAGGAAUUCAAUGCAAAGCAUCAGAUUAUGGCUGCACUGCGUGUGUGGUUGUCUGAGAAGUCUUAACCAUUAUCACACUUCCACUUGUAGGCUUUACACACUGGAAGGAUAUGUUGUUCUGUGCUCAAUUAAAAGAUUGUCAACUGCUCAUUUAGUUUUUCACAUUCCAUUGAUAUUUUACUGACAAACUGCUGUUCUUUGCAGUCGUCAGUCCUUCUUCCAGUUGUGAUGACUCUUAUAGCAACACGGCCACAAGAUAGUGAAUUUCUAAAGAUUUUAGCUAAAUUUUGCUAUCCUAGGUGGGCUUUAGAAGCAUUUGUGAUUGCAAAUGCUGAAAGGUACUGCGCCAAUUUCCCUAUAUCUGAAAAAGUGAUCAGAAUUCUAUUACCUACUGAAAGUGAAAACGUUUACCCCUUAAUCUAGCACUCUGCUGAUGUAGGAGUCUUAAUUUUGUAAAUCCGAUAACUGAAAUAGAAAAAUUUAGUAACUAUAACAAUAACCACUUGUAGAUUGUUCUGAAUUGUUAUUUUGAUCUGGAUUAUCUACUAUUCCCUUUUUUUCUACAGGUAUUCUGGAGUAUGGCUGAUAACGCGGUGCGGGUCGCUUUUGAAAAGUGGCUAUAAUCUUCAUGAUUGGAAUCUUUGUAUAAUCAUCCUAACGUUCGUCGGUAUAGUUAGUCGAGCCGUAGCAUUCUUUUGCAUGGUGACCUUUCAGAAGAAGUGAGAUAUCAGAUAUCAACAAUCAGCGCACCGUUCUUUUGCAGCUCUCAAGACUUGCAAAGUGGAAGCGUUUGAAGUGCUUAUAUCACCCUCAUAGUUCCCAAAGAAGUAACAUACAGAUUUAUACAUUGUUAGGUAGAAGAAUCAUCUGCCCAAACAUUGCUAAAGCAAAUAGGUAAAAUGACAAGCGAGAUAAUAGAGAAGCUUAUUUUUAUUACAAUUUUUUCCCCUUUUCUUUAUUAUAGAAAUUAUGGUAUAAAUUGGCUAAAUAUACUGAUAUAAGAGAGAGUUGCUAACUCUAAAAAUAUCAUAUGAACUCAAAUCCACAAUUGUAACAUAAAAGAAACAAUAAAUAUGUAAUUAACACAACUUUAUAAAGUGGAUCAAAACAUCACUUAAAUAUCACUCGUCUUACAUUUUUAGAUUCAAAAGUAACAAUUGACUUUACAUAUCAAUUUUUUCUACCAUGUAUUUUGUCAAUUUCCUAAUUGAUUCAACUAGGUUCAUUAAUUUAAGCCAUAAGUUUAAAAAAUAAUUGGGUCUUUAUUGUCAAUUUCAUUUUUAUUUUUUUUGGUAACUACAAAAUUAAUUAAAUGCUUUCGAUUUUAAUUAAAAACAUGUAUGUUUUUUUUUUUUUUAUAAAAGAAAACUAUCAAAUUUGGCAAUUUCUUUUUACUCAAGAAAACUUUGGCAUAUCUCUUUUCAUAGACAUAGAUGUAUGCAUAUAAAAGAGAUUCAUCUUAGCUUAGUUUCUCAUCAUUUUCAUUUCAUUUUUGGUACACUUAUCAGCCAGCCAUUCAUGAAGUCCUCUUGCCAUUUCAUCUUUUUCAUCAUUUCUUUUUGUUCUCUGUCCAUUAACCACGUGCGAAUAAUGUUGGCUUCCAUUCCAUCAUUUGAUAAAAGUUCCUCUGCCUGUAUUCAAAGAGUCAUUGGAGAAAACCAUGCAAGCUAUACAAAACGCGAACUCUAUCAUUUCACAUAUCAAAUAAAGACAAUAUUAAAAUUGAAAUAUAGUUUUAGAAAGUGCAUAAGGGAGCAGACAUGGCCUUUAGUCAAGUUAGCUAGAGUGGAUAUGCUCUCCACUCUGCACUCAAGUUGGCUAGAGUGAAUUAUUUCUUUAAAUUUCAAUUUGUGUUUUUUUCUUUUUGUGGAUUUUCAUAUGGAUCCUUAAAUUGAGGAGGAGCUCCUCCUUAUAAUCAAUGUGGUUUUAACAGGUGUUAAAUUUUUUUUAAAAUUCAACUUAUUUGAUGGUUCUUGGUUUCCUGGCACACAAUGAAGGGCAGCAUUGGCAUUGUGUCUCGUAAUUCCUCUGGGGAAUGGUGUGGUGGUCUGGCUUCCCUACUUUUAUGUGUUUCAUCUCUUAGUGCAGAAGCGGCAGCAGCUCUUUGUGCUUUACAUCUUGCUAAAAACAGGGGUUAUCUGAAAGUCAUCUUGGAGACAGAUUGCAAGGUGUUAAUAGAUGGCAUUACUGGAAAUCAUGGUAACAACUCCUGGCCUAUCCUUCCUCUUAUUGACGAAAUACAUGUUGUGGUUUCGAGCUUCGAAGAGGUGACUUGGUCAUGGGUGCCUAGAAAUCGUGCAGCUCAUGCAGCGGCGUCGAUGGGUAACAGAGCUAUGGAACUGCAAAGUUGGGUCGACAGACCACCAUUGUCCCUCGUUGGGGUGUUAACUUCUGAUGGUUUGCCUUGUCCACCUCAUGUUGCAUCUGCUGUUUAGUUUUAAUUCCUAUUAGUAGCUAGUUUGAUGGGUAGGGACUGUUGCUCUAGGCUCCGGUGGAAUCUAGCUAUGUCUGACCCUGCUUUUGUUAGUUUGUUCUUGUGUUCUGUUGGCUCCUCAUGGCUUUAGCCUUCUGUUUGUAUCUCUAUUCCCUGUUUUGGGGUUUUAUGAAUACAACAUGAAUUUCAGACCCAAAAAAAUUUUUUGGUUCAAAUAGUGAGUUUGGUAAUGAAAAAUUCAGAGGGUUAAACGGUCACAAGUACAUUGAAUUUCAAGAAAUUGAACAAGUUGAGCUUCAGUGAAGUUCACGACAUAAUAAGAUGGGUGGAGUUGAGAGGGAAAAAUAUAUUAAGGGAAAUUUUUGAAAAACUAGCCAAAACUUGCACAUCCUAAAAGACUACUAAACCUUUUUUUCUUUUUCCUUUUUCUCAAAAUAUAACCUUAAUAUGGUGCUCAAAUUCCAUUUCUUUGAUAGAGCUCGAAACCGAAUUUUGGUUGAAAUUUUAAGGGUCUGAAAUUUUGUGGCAUAAAUAAGAAAUUAAAUGCUUUCCUGGCUUUUGUUCAUUUGAAAGGAUAUAUAUGUUUCAGGUGUAAAUAGGUACCAAAUCUUUAAAAAAAAAAUAGAAAUGGUGCAUUGUAUAUCAUCUUAUGAUCCAUAAAUGUCAUCCAAAGAUAAUCAUGAUCCAUAAAUCAUAUUCUUCAAAGAUUAUUGUUACCUUCCGCAGGGAUUCCUUAGACACCAGGGUUUUUGUUAGUGCAUGAUUUGUCUCCUUAUUUGACCUCUCCGUACUAAAUUUCAAUUUGUGUGGAUUUCGUAAGGCUAUAAAGUUUCGGGGUCAAAUAGUGACAUUAGUGAUAGAAAGUUGAAAUGGUAACAGGUAAUGCCUUUCUACCUUUCAAUUUGUGUGGAUCGCUGGUUCACUGGACUGUUAAAUAGUCAGAUGUUUUCCAAAUCCGAAAGAGUAUGGGUUUUGUCCUUGGUUAGUUUUAUCUCGUGGGAGAUAUGGAAAGCAAGGUGCAAGUUUCUUUUUGAGGACAUUACAAUCGAUCCCAGAUGUGUGGUGGAACGGGCGGCCUCAGCAGCAGAGGAAUUUGAUGUGCUGAGGCGUCAUGCAAUCUCCACCAGAAACGGGGCUGGUGUUUUCUCCCAACCCACUGAUAUUUGGAAACCCCCUGUUAACGGUGCAAUUAAGGUCAAUUUCGAUGCGGCUUGGAAAAACCAUGAGGCAGGAUUGGGGGUGGUGAUGAGGAAUCAUAAUAAGGAUUUCUGCUAUGGUUUUGCUAGUAAACGAUGUUGUAAUAGUGCACUGAAUGCAGAAACUGAAGCAGCUAUCGAGGCUCUAAGAUGCGCAAGUUUGAGAGGUUACUCAAAGAUAGAGAUGGAAUCAGACUCAAAAGUCCUCAUUGAUAAUAUCAAAGGUAAUGUAUGCACGGAGGCCUGGACCAUUCUCCCUUUGCUUGAUGAGAUCAGACGCCUAAGUGCAGGGUUCUCUGACGUGGAAUGGUGUUGGAUCCCUCGUGGUGCAAAUCGCGCCGCUCACGUGACGGCGGCGAUAGGAUUAAGGGCGGUGUGUCCGCAAGGAUGGGCUAAUCAGCCACCUCCGUCCCUGGUGCGGGUUCUGGCUUCUGAUGGACUUCCUAGUCCCCCUUAAAUGUAAUUUUUGUUUUCAGUGUUUUUGUCUUAGUGGGAGAAAACUGGUUACUAGACUCUGUGAGUUUAGUUUUUUUCCCUGAGUUUCUUUUAGCUGUUCAGGAUGGUAUCCUUUUGUAUGCCUUUUCUGUUUUUUAAUGAAAGCUUCUUUGUCCAAAAAAAAUCUUUAGGUGCAACAAGUUGAUCUUCUGUGCAGUGGGUGGAUUUGAUGCAAAGUAAGAGGUUAAAUGCCUUCCUUGGCUUUGGUUAAUUUGAAGGAUAUGUUUCAGGUUUAACUAGGAAACAAAUCUUUAAAAAAGAAAAGAAAAAUGGUGCAAAAUAUGAGUUAUGAUCCAUAAUUCGUAUUCUCCAAUACAACCAAUCCCACAACAUGGUGUGCACUGUACUGUAUAUAUACUCAUAUCCAUUGCCUUCUCUUCUCUCAUAAUUUACAUUUUCUGGUGCCAUGAAGUCAUCCUCCCAUUUCAUUUUUUCCAUCAUUUGUUUCUCUUAUCUUUCCAUUGACCCCCCGCGCUGCCCUUGAUAAAUGUUCCUUUGCCUGCAUUCAAAAGCUCAUUGGAGAAGACCAAGGCCUCUACCAUGUCACAUAUGCAUGCUGGUGAAGAUUAUGAAAAUUCUACCGUUGUACUUAGAUUUGUGUGUUGGGAUAGAGUCAUAGUUUAUAGAUGUGUGACAUUGACACAUACGAUGUUUAUGUCAAACUUAUUUUAGUUUUUAUAGUCUAACUAUUUUAAUAGAUAUGCCAUAUAUGUAUACAUGGUUGGUUAAAAUAUAUAAUUCUAAUUUCAAUAUAUAAAUGCUUAAGCUGAUUGAAUAGUUGAAUUUUCUUUGGGUUCACUGUUUGACUGGCGCCCGAGGCCAAGUUUAGCCGGAAAUAAUGUCAUCUCUAUUACACUGCUCUUCAGCUUCACCCUUGUUUCUUUCCUCUUUUUCUUUCGGUUAAUUUUUUUUGGUCUUAUAUAUGCAAGAGAUAAAAAGGAUAAACAAGUAAGGAGGAACAGAACAUGGAAAGUGGACAAUAAUACCAAAUUAAAUUCAGAGCCAAAUUCCUGCAGUCCAAUUCAAUCAGGGUGCUGCUUUUCAAAGAUGUCCCUGUAUUCACUCUGCUCGUAAUACAAAUUUACAAAUUCAAACUCACAAUAUAGCUGCACGGUAAAAUUAGAACUGCCAUAUUGCAUAAACAUGCAGAGUAGAGAGAAUUCUCUUUUUAAAACAGUUAACACUUGCAUUAACCAUGGGCAUUCUAGCAUACUUCCCCCUCUUGGUGGCAUCCAUCUCUUCUUCCCGUUUCUUUCUAAACUCUAAAGUUGCUGCAGCAGAAAAAGGUUAGGCGUGUAUCUACUGCGGAAUCAAAUACGCAUAGGCGGAAUUUUGCAAUCAUAACUAUAACUACAAGACCUACGACUUAACCAGCACAAUGCUUCCCCAUUGAAUUCAUCCCUCACUACUACUCUCAUAAAAGCAUAAAAUAUUACGAGUCAGUAAGAAUGCAUUCCACAACUGACAACCCUACAGAUCAAAACUUUCUCUUUACAUAUACAUCGUUUGCAUGCUAAAACAUCCAAAUGUUUUACACUUUGUUGGUCAUGGUGGCACAUAAAGAGCACCGUUGAAUAAGUUACAGGGGUGAAGCUUGCACUAUGCCCAAUUGUUAAUUAUUGGUGGAUAGAGAUUGAUUGUGUUGUAUAAAAUGGUAUUUUCAGUGCAAAAUCAUUGCAGGAGGAGCAAGUCGAACCUGCACCUUCAACAAUAUCACCAAGUAGAAAAGAGAAUACAGUUACCUGAGAAGAGAAAAAAAAAUUUGUCAGAAAAUGCAUCUGGUUUUAGGCUUGUCCAAACAAGCACGUCGCAUGCAGGGACAUGCAAAUCAGCUGACUUCUACUUUUAGAUGCACCCCUUAGUAAUUCUCACAUGAACAUGUUAAAAUCAACACUAUCGAUGCCAAAAUUUGUCGUACACAAUGAUACAUAUGAUCCCUGAUCUUGAAAUAUUAGGAUAUAAUGGAAAAUGAACAGCAAGGUUUGGAAGUUAUAGCUCACCACAAAAUAAAGUGGUUCAAGAGCUGCCAAUAAGAUUAGUGAGAUGAGAGGUUAUAACAACUAACAUUGCGGUCAAUCGGCUUUGCACAUGGCUGAAACCUUGAAUUUACAAAAAUGAAGAUGUUUGCUUCUCCUGUAUAAAAAAGAAAUAUGAGACAAAACCCACAUUCAGCAUCAACAAUCCAAGCAAAUUUUGAAAAUUGAAUUAUGCACCUUAUGUAAGCAACAACCUUUUCUAUUCAGAGUUGGACUCUAUCGAUAGACACACUCGUUGUCUUACAGACCUUGGCUGACGAGGAAAGGAGAAAGGUCCAUCGGAAAAUUUCCUUGAAUUUUCUCUUUUUGACCGAGCUCCAUUAUUUAGACCCUUAACUAAAGCAACUGCAAAGGAUUUAUAAUAAGAAAGAUCAGCCUCAAUAAAUGUUAAAAAUAUCGAAAUCUCCAUAUUUUUAUAACCUCGGUCAACAUUGGUCUUCCAUCACAAUUCCUUAAUUAGUGGACAUUCAAGUAAAGCAAUUAAAAGAAUCUAACAAGGCCUUAAUCACCAUAACUUUGCCAUUAAAUUUCUAGGGGCGUCCAGGCCCCUUAAAGAUCAAGAUGAACUACAAGAUUAUGAUUGAAAAUAUGGGCAAUGUUUAUUAUGAUCAGACAAAAGUCACAAAACAACAAGAUUACGCAUUUCAUCCUCGAGUAAAAUCUUGUUUAAAUAGAUGAAUUUACCUUUAUCUGAUCCACAUUGGUUUCUCAAACGUAGUUCAUUUGUCCUUGCAGAUUCAGUGCAGGCCUCAAUAUCAUUGGGGACAAUUUCACCGAUACUACCAAGUCUAAGAGACAUCCAAUCCUCAGUAUUAAUUCCAUUUGAAUCUGGAGGAUGUUGUCCAGAAUCAGAUUGCUCCAACAAACCAGAGGGCUGAGUUGGAAGAAAAUUUUGUAGUGAGCCGUCCUCACUAACAAAGGCCAAAGGAUCAUCAACCAAGCUGUUAUCCAAGUCAGCAUUGGCAUGGGAACCAGACGAGUUUAAAACCUGUCUGCUUGGAUUUAGAAUUUCCUCCAAGACCAAUGUGUUACCAUUUGUUGGAGCUGAACGGGCAACUUCUGUCUGCUCCAAAUCAAUGAAAGCAUCUGAAAUAUCUGAAUCUGUACCAAAUAACUGGAACCCAGGAUCUGCUUCAGUGCCUGAAGGAUAUGGAUACUGAGACAUCCCAAUAUCAUUUCCAGUUUCAUUAAAGAGACCCAAAGAAGAGCUUGCACACACUUUCAGAGCUGGAUCUUGUGCAUAUGAGCCUGAAAAGCCAGGAGGUACAGACAGAGAACACCCACUGCCACCUACUGGCAAAGUAUUGUAGACAGUUCCAGGAGAAACCAAGUGGACAUCUUCUUCUUCAGAGUCACUAAGAAUAAUGAUAUCAGCAUUCCCAGCCUGAGCAGAACCACCGUUCAUAAUUGCAAAUGUUGGGUCAAAAUUACGAGAAGCUGAGUUGAUUUCGUUGUCAUCGUUGGCGGAGACAUUGCAGUUCUGGUUCAUACCUUCAUCAUCUCUACCACUUCCUGUGGCACUGCUGCUCAUUGUUAUCACAUUUUGACUGCAAACCUCAAACUCUUCCUCUAAUGGGCCAUGCUGAUGUCCACUAACUUCCGUAACCCCACAAGGAUUAUGCAUAAAUCCACUAUGUUCGUUUGUACAAGAUUCCAGCUUGAACUGCCUUGAGGUUUCCAAAUUCAUACCAGCACAUAAAGAUCCAUCAGGCAAAUGCCAUUGCGCAAGAUCACUAAACUCACCUUUGGUCUUUGCACUCCAAGAACCAUCUGGCUUCACAUUGAUCUCUGUUAUGUCUUCCCCACACUUUAGCAUCUGUCCACCAGAUAAACAGUAAGAAAUGUCUCUGGUUCCAUAAGAUUUCACAGAAACUACAUAAACUCAGAUAAUGUUUGCUACAGGAACUACCAUCAUUGUAAUGCGAUUGAAGUAGCGGUCAAUGAUGAUGUCCUCCAAGGAGUAGUUCUUGAGGCAUACAGGGCAUUGCCACUGCAACCAUAAUAAACACUUGCUCAUAUGUGUAAAUUUGUAAAGAAUAAAAAAGAACAAUUUACAGCUAUAUUGUAUAACUUGCCUUCCUAGAGCGUUGGUUUAGCUCCACAAAAGUAUCAAGAUCAAAGCAACCCAUGUGGACGCAAGGUUUGAAUCUGCCAGCUACCUUCAUUCGACAGCCACUCAUCUGAUUGUUACAUGUAAACAUUACCCCAUAUGCAGCAUUAUCUAUGAGCUCUACACUAGAAACAUGGCUCUAUGUACACUAAGUUCACUGAUACUUUUCAGAAAUUAACUUAAAUGAUAUAGAUAAGCCAGAACAAAACGACCAAAGAACAUAAACCGUGACUUUGCAACCAUGGGCUGUGACUUGCAGCUCGUGGCUUAGGGUGGUUGUUUAUAUUUUUUCAUUGUCCCCACCUGUUGACUGGUCAAUGGACCAAUGCUGGUUUUGGGCUCAUACAAUGGAUUGGGCCGACCGGUUGAAAAGGCUUGUCAGUGUGUGGAUGUAAUGGCAGAUAAUCUUAGAAAAUGCGUGCGUGGUAGGGUCGGAUGACCAGAUAGGACAUCCCUAAGACCCAAAGCAGGAAUAACAAGAAGUAGAACAGCAUUAACAAGCACAUGCAACUACAGACUACAACAAAGUCAAAAGAAAACAACCAUCACUUACAGGGCAUCGGAGAUUUACUGAUACUGAGUCUGAAAUCACUUCCAAAUCACUGUCACUAUCUUCGGGUGCCUUAGCAGGCCCACCACCAAUGCAACGACAAACUCGCGCAAGUGCAUCUUCAAAAAGCUCCCCAUCUUCUUCUUUAGGAAUCAAGUUGAGAACCUUGAGGAGUAAAGGAGAAAUGCAGUUGGUGAGAUGAGAUGCAAUCCAGAUUUGUAGCUUUCUUUCAACAUCUUGAGUCAUUUCUCAGAAUUUUAAUACUUUGUACUUGAAUGGCAAAGAAUUCUCACAAUUUUCAGAUUUGAUGUCAUGGAUCAACAAUGUUUCCUUGAUUCCAGGUUGGUCCCAUUAAAGAUAUUUGUAUGUUCAUGCUUAUGGGACCUUUCAUGUACGUACUUUUUAAAUUUUAUAAUCCGUGUCGCUAGAAUCAAUUGCCAAGGACAGCAGAUUAGAGAUAGAUGUUCAUUGCAUGCAUGCACAAGUACCAUCAGCAAAACCUAUUGAGUAGCUAGUGCAUUAACCAGCUGCACUUGCCAUCAUAAAUUCCAUGACUUAAUUAUUCUGUCAAAGAAAUUUAAAUGAAGAAUCAGUGAUGUACCUGCUGAACUGUACGUCGCUUUACAAGUCUGACACCAAAACAGAAAGCACGCUUAUCACACCCUGAUAAUGAAAUCUUAUUGAUUCCAUACCGAAGGCAUAAUGUGAUCUGAGAUAAAAUAAUUUUUUUAAUUGAAAUUAAACUGAAACAUAUUUUCUUACAAUGAAAGGACCCAAUUAUACUUCUAAAAAAGUAGAUACUGAAGCAAAAAACUUUAUAAUAUGUAAAAAUUCUUGAACCACCACCAGA